UUUCCUACGGGACGCAGCAGUGAGGAAUAUUGGUCAAUGGCCGAGAGGCUGAACCAGCCAAGUCGCGUGAGGGAAGACGGCCCUACGGGUUGUAAACCUCUUUUGCCGGGGAGCAAGGGCGGGGACGUGUCCCGGCCCGGAGAGUACCCGGAGAAAAAGCAUCGGCUAACUCCGUGCCAGCAGCCGCGGUAAUACGGAGGAUGCGAGCGUUAUCCGGAUUUAUUGGGUUUAAAGGGGGCGUAGUCGGGCUUUUAAGUCAGCGGUAAAAAUUCGGGGCUCAACCCCGUCCGGCCGUUGAAACUGGG
rnacentral:rRNA from 1 species